GUCUCCCUCGCUCUCUGCCCCUCCCCCACUUGUGCUCUGUCUCUCUCUCUCUCUCUCUUUCAAAAAUAAACAUUAAAAAUAAAUAAAUAAAAUACAUAAAAAAAUUCCAGCCUCAUGAAACAUAGGGGGGGUUCACACCACAUCAAGGUCUUACAAAUGCAAUGAAUGUGAGAAAGCCAGAAGCCCAAGGCCUUUACUCUCUGCAUACCACAAAUUUCACAUGGGUGAAAACACCUUUAAUGUGCAAGCAAGUACAAUUUUUUGUUCCAUAUAUCAAAACUUGGGGCGAUCCCUAAUGACGGUGCCGCCUGAAUUGAACCUCAUCCAAACACAAAAAUCCCAGGUAUGUUGGAGCUGCAUUGCACUUUUUAACCUGCCCAUGGCCUUUCCAGAUUUAUGCCACUGGUGGUUUCUGUGGAAAAAGCCAUUUCACCUCUACUACCUGGCAGGUGCCUAUAGUAUGCAUCUUUCACCCAAUCCAGUGUGUUCAGGGAAGGGAACCUUGGUGUUUCCAUUCCCAGCAGAGAUUACUGAGAAGUCUCAGCACUCACUCUUUUUUUCUCUCUUUGAUAAGCUGUGCCUUGUACCUGACCCAUUUUUGGCCCAGUGGACUCUGUUCUUAACUUGACAACAUAGACUGACUGCCUUUUCUGGGGAUAUUAUUGGUUUCAUGUGACUUCUGUGAUGGAGGUUCCCAGCCAUCAAGUCACUGAUACAGGAGUAACUUGCCUCCCAAUGCUCUGGUUUGUAUGAUAAUAGAGCCUUUAUUGGUUAAGCUACCUUUAAUCUUGGAGUUCUGUUCACUCUAUGGGAUGAUUUGAAAAACAGCUGGGUUUUACAAACACAAAGAAUAACCUGUUGUUGGGAUCCCAAGCUUCGUGUGCCUCAGAGGUGACAGUAUGAUGGCAGAGAGUUGUUCUCCAGGUUUGCCCUUGUUUGCACUGCUGCCCAAGGCCUCCGAUGAAAACCUUCAAGAUCUCUGGGCCUAGUUUGUAGACUGAAUGCCAUAAUAUUUUCUGGGUUCAGAGGUACCUGAGGAGGGGGCAGUUCUCACGACUCCUGUGGUGCUUCUGAGAGCACCAUGAAAUUAUUCAUGGGGAAUGUUGCCUUGGGCUCAGCAUUGGUGAGGAAAACCUCCCAGGUCCUGCAGUGGACUCAUGGGCCAAAUUUUGAUGUUCAAAAUUCUGUAGGGUAGCAUCAUUGUAAGACUAGAAGGGUAACUGUAAUUGUCACAGAAACACUAGAUUAAGGACGCCUAGCUGGCUCAGUCACAAGAGUGUGUGACUCUUGGUCUCCAGGUUGUGAGUUUCAGCCCCACGAUGGGUGUGGAGAUUACUAAAACAAAAGAAAAAACAUAAAAGAAACUUAAAACACACACACACACAUUAAUAGUAAGAGGAGGAUACUAACAAAGUGCUUAGAAUAUGCCUUUAUUUAAAGGGGUUUCCACAAUGUUCCAAUCACUAUAGCUGUGAAGUAUUGGUAGAUACAGAACUUCUCUGAUCUGAACUGUGAAUCUUCUAUAGCAUAAGGCAUGGUGGGAUAAAAUAAAAGUUUUGUGGAUUCUUGUAGCCUCUCUGGGAUGUCCUCCAGGCCAUUUCCGUGCAGAGAAAAAUAUGAGUACAGAGAGAAGGGACAGCUCUUCUUCAAGUUAUGGGAACCUUAGGACCCAACCAGGAUUCCUACUGAAUCUGGUGCUAAGUCUUCAUUAUUCACUUAAUUUUUGGCCACUGAGGCAAGAAGCCCUUCCCAGGGCAUGAGGAGAGAGAUGAUGAAGUCAAUGUAAGGGAUUCUUAAAAUAGGACAUUCAAAUUUCUUUAGAAUUAUAUUUUUAAAAUGUUAAUGAGACAUAAAUGAUAAAAUAUAUUUUCAAAAUGCAAUUUGAUAAAUUUUGACAUUUAUAUAUAAAUAAAUGAAACCAUCAUGUUUGUAAUUCACCUAUCCCUCACCCCCACACUUAUCUUUAAAAUGAUGUCACUGUGCUCUGUAGUCAAAUAUUGAUUUACCUUUCAUUACAAUAUAUUCAUCUGCAUUGUCUGGAACUUUAUGAUUAAAGUCAUUAAGUGUUUGUUCUGUGGAUUUGCCACUAUUAGUUUACGCAUUCAUCUGUAUGAAUACGAGUUGUCUUCAGUUUUUGACUGUUGCAGGUAAAACUACAGAGGUUUGAAUACAAAUUUUCAUAUGGAUAGGUUUCAUUUUUCUUUUGUUAAUACUUUGGAGUACAUGUCUGAGUUACAGGGUUAGUGGAUAUAUAACUUUUUAACGAACUCCAUACUGUGAUCUAAAAUAGUUGUUUCCUUUUGUAUUCCUAACAGGAGUGUUUGGAACUUCUAAUUCUUCCAUAUCCUUGGCAGUAGUGGGUAUGGUUAAUCUUUUUAAAAUCUUUAACCCUUUUAAUAAUUGUGUAGCACUGUCCUACUGUGGUUUUAAACUGUAUUUCUCAGAUAUUUUAUGAUGUUGAGCAUUUUUUCAUUUGUUGAUUUGCCAGCUGUACGUCCCUUUUGGCAAAAUGUCUUUUUUAUAUUUUCGCCAAGUUUUUAAGAUAUAUAUAAAAGAAUGAAACAACAAAUACUUAUUCAGAACUUUAUUCACUCUUUAGUGAUGUGACAUUUUUGCAAUAAAAAAGAAUUGCUUUUAAAUACCAGAAGAAUAUUUCCUAAAUCAUCUUCUGCUAUACACAAUACAGUGGCCACACACAGCAUAUACUUUAGAGUUUAAUAUGCAUUAACAUGUUCUCCAUCACAUAAGUCUAAAUAUCUAACAAUAAAAUAAAUAAAGCCAUCACUUGUAGUGUUUGCAGUUUUCCCAGUGUAAAUAUUCCCACCGUGGCCAAGUGAAAACCGCCAGUGUGAUAUCACUGUAGCUGGAGUUCCAAGGUGCCAGGAGUAUGCUAAUCUAUCUUUUUUUCCACCAUAGCAAUCCAGUGGCCACAAAUAACCUCAAGAGCACAGAAAGUAAAUGCAGUAGAGUGACUAGAAAGUUACCAUCACACAAGUCUGCAGCAACAAACCUCAUCGUCUGUCUCAUCACUAUUUAGUGUACACAUCAUGGGUGAGGGGGAUCAGCGGGACAGCGUCAGAGACUCCAUAAGCCACACCUAGAACAUACCAAAUUUUAAUGAAAAUGCCCCAGCAACAUCAACAAAUAAGAAUUUAAAAAGAAUCAAGCUUGGCAACACUAUACUGACUCCACCAUUGGACUCUGCACGCCCUGGGAGGGACGACUUGCCUCAGUGGUGACAAAUACUGGUGAGCAGUGAAGGUCAUUUCCACCUGAUUCAAUAGGAAUGCAGGCUGGUCACAAAGGCCACAGAGCUAACCUACAAGAUCUCCCUCCUCCUCGUGCUCAUCAUCUACCUGUACAGCAGUGGGCUUGAGGUGAAAAGCCCAGAUAGGCUACGGGAAACAACAAAACCUUUAGAUUAUUUUCUCUGACAAGCUGUCAGACACCCAAGAUCCACAGUUCGGGAGGUCCUGAGAAUUUGUGCACCUGCUCAUCCUUCACAGCCACAGAGACUAAAUACUGUGCACACCCUUUAAAAGAGGUACAUUUCAACCAAUUUGUUGCAGUCUCCUUCCUCCGCUUCAUAGAAAUCCAGUGUUUGUGUAACAUGUAUGAUUGCCCCUAUAAUCUUACAACCAGUGACACUGGCCCGAGGAAUUCAGGACAUCGGGGCCUGUGGUUCCACUGUGGACUUGGGAACAGGCUCCCCUCGCCAGUACUAAGCAAGAUGCAAUACCUCGUGAGCAAGAGAAGAACUUCAUGUGGCUCUGAAAACACUAAAGGUUGGCCUAACAACUGUUCCCUCCAUAGGCUGACCUCUAACCCAGAGUAUGCUGGACAAAUUCAAACAGCAUCCAAUAAUAAGUCAGACUUCCCGUGGCUCCCAUUAGCAAUGGUAGUGUCAAAUCAGUCUAUGAUGGUCCAGCUACAUACCUUGCCUCAGAUUUAGCCACUCAGAACCACGUGUGGGUCUCAGACACUCAAGGUCCUACACUGCUUUUGCCGCACUUGCUGUGCCCUCAGUAAUUACAACUUUCCUCUGUCCAUCCAGUCCUCAUUCCAAGCCAGCCCCCCUGACUACCCACCUCAGGCCUAGUGAUUCUCACAGAUGACCAGAUUUGCCCCUCACCAUACACCAGGCUGAAGGAAAACAUCCCAGGUUCCAUCAAAGUCAAAACAAAAUCUUGGUGAGUCCAUAAAGUGGAGAAUAAGCACCUAUUCCAGCCUGAGUGUUAUUUGCCUCAGUUACCCCUUGCCUCCGCAUCCAUCUCAUGUCCACUCUUCCCUUGGAAGCCUUGACCAUCUGCCAGACUAUCCUGUCUGAUGCCUUCACGGUCACUUGUCUCCCUUAUCUGUGGAUAUGAAACCCAACACCAUCACCCCGGUACGCAAGCAAAAGACCCAGUCCUUGGGCCCCCACCCUUCCCUUCUUCACCUCCUAAUAGCAUUGCCACCAUAACCUGAAGUUGACUUUCUUAAAUGUGACCACAGCACACUCACCUUGGUCUUCACAAUAUCUCGUACAUUUUAGAUGUAUCCAAUCUGAAUUCCUCCCCAGAUUUCUCAACCUGUGUGUCCAGCUGCCCAUUUUAGGGCUCCAUUUCAUGGUCUCUGAUAUAGCUUAGACUCUUAACAAGGUCAACACAGACCUCCUUAUACCCCUGGUAAAUAUUACACCAGUUACCAAGUAGCUCGUCUCAAAUGAUACAACUUUCAUCCCAACUGCUGUUAAGACCCUUGUGUACCCUGGGGUCAUCAUCGAUUACUCUGUUUCAUUCCCUUGCCCUCCACAUUAGAAAAUCUACUUACCCUUUAUUUUUUUUUUAAUUUUUUUUCAAUGUUUAUUUAUUUUUGGGACAGAGAGAGACAGAGCAUGAACGGGGGAGGGGCAGAGAGAGAGGGAGACAC